AUGCCCUUCCUGACAUUUCCUCCCAAGGAAACCCAAGUCCUCCGUCAGGGUCCACCCAAAUGUCCACACUCUCUGGUAGCCUGCCCAGCCCCAGAGGCUCCCUUGAGCUCCCUUCCCCCAUUAGAGCCUACAGAGGCAGUGCUGCCCAGCAGACAUCUCGGCUGGGAGUCAAACAGAGCAAGGCUAUUUUGGUCCCUCUCUCCACUCUAUGUGACCCUGAAAUGUGCCCUGGCCUUAGGAAACAUUCAGCUACAUCAGAGAACGCAAGUCAAGGAAGUUGCUGCCCAGAAACCAAGUGAGGACAUUUACAAGAACCGGCAGCAGCAGCAGCAGCAGCCAGCAGCAGAAACUGGAUUUGCUUUUUCACCAGAGGAUCCAGAUUUCCCUGUGGCCUCGCAAACAAAAAAGAAGGAAGACGGAGCAGCACAGUCAUCCCUUUGUGAAAAAGGCAUUCAGAGACGGGGUUUCACCGUGUUAGCCAGGAUGGUCUCGAUCUGCUGACCUCGCGAUCCGCCCGCCUCGACCUCCCAAAGUGCUGGGAUUACAGGCGUGAGCCACCGCGCCCGGCCUCAGCUGGUUUUUCAAAAGUCAUGGCGUGUAAUUGUCAGAACAGUGAACUUCGGAGAUUCACCGGAGGGGCGAGGCCACAGCUUGACCGCGAGCACCUGAGCAUCCUGCACCGCCUGCGACGGCCGUCAGGGGGCGCGAUGCCGCCUCACAGAACCUCAAGAGGCGCCCGGGUUCCGGCACAGACGCCCUGCGGCUCCAGGGGGCGGAGCCGAGCCGCCUCCUCAGGACCUACGCAGGAGACGCCUCCAUCCCUACAGGGACACCUGAGAGGACCCAGCCUCCUCCUCCUCAGGACCCACUCGGGAGACGCCGCUGGCUCUAUAGGAACACCUGGGGACCGUGGCCAGGGACGACCCAGCCUCCUUCUCCUCAGCUCCUCAGGAACGACUGGGGAAGCUGUGGCUUCAUGGUCCCCGAGGCUGCCCGAGGAAAGGUGAGGAAAAAGCUUUCUGUCCCGGCUCAGUGUUGAGGAGGCCGCGCUGCCUCGCGCUCCACUUUCUCAAGUUGUAUUUAUUUUAUUUUACAAAGUGGCCCAUCAUUAAGUGGCUUUGUUAUUCAUUAUUACAGCAUACCUGAGUUGUUUCAUUUUUUAAUUUUUGACCAAUUUGGGUUUGUUUGGGGUGGAUCCGGGACAGAGAAGGGAGAAACCCUGAGGGCAACAUGGAGAGCCCCAGGGAGACGCGCACCCCACGACUUGCUUUUAUUUGCGCUCCAGUGGCUCGUUUUUCUUAGAGUGUUAAAGUACUUGAAAAAUAUUGAAGAGCAGAUGUAGAUGUGAGUUUUCACAACCGUAUUUUAAGUGUAAAUACUGGACUUUGUCUGUUAAAAGGAUUUUAGGUAAAAUAAAUUUAAGCGGAGUUUAUUUCAGCAAAGGAAUGGUUCAUGAAUCACGCAGGAAGCACCAGAACGGAAAUCGGCUUGGGGCUUUGAGCUCUUAGGGUGGCCCCUAAGUGAGGCUCCUCAGUGGCUCCAGCUAGGCGACCGCCUGUUGUGGGAAUGGUUCCCUCAGCGUCCCUAGUCAUACAGCCAACUGGCUGCUGAGCUUUUUGGCAUUGACUGUGGUUGGUUUGUUAAUUUUUUUAAGUCAGUUCAAAUGCCUCCAAGUUCGGUUUCUGUUUGCUUAGGGAAGGCCUCAGGCUAACCCCCGCCUUAUUUGCUUUAACAUGUCAAAACCAUAAUUUAUUUUUCAUUUUACUUUCCUGGCAUUAAUAGAAGUAAAUUCACAUUUGUGUGUUAUUCAGAAAGUCGGUUUAAUUGGCAACCUAUUUGUGAUGGUGCAUAAAAUAAUGUUUUUUAAUCAUUGGCAUCUUAGAUUAGAUGAACUAUGUUAACUCUCUUAAGCUUUGUUAUUAACCCAUAACAAGAGUUAAGUUUCUUUUUUUCUCCUAGGCUUUGACCAUUUAAAGUACACUCAGGCAUCUCGUAACGAUGUUAUACUUUCUGAGAAAUCUAUCCUUAGGUGAUUUCAUCUUUGUGUGAACACUGUAGAGUGUCCUUAUAAAACUUAAAUGGUGUAGCCCACUCCACACCUAAGUUACAUAGUAUAGCCUAUUGCUCCCAGGCUACGAACCUGUACAGCAUGUCUCUGUACUGAAUGCUGCAGUCAACUAUAACACCAUGGUGAUUGUAGAUUGUGAUCCCAGAAUAUCUGAGACAGGUCUUAGUCAAUUUAGAAAGCUUAUUUUGCCAAGAUUAAGGACACACCCUUGACACAGCCUCAGGAGGUCCUGACGACAUGUGUCCAAGGUGGCCAGGGUAGAGCUUGCUUUUGUACAUUUUAGGGAUAGAUGAGACGUGUAAGAUAUACAGUCAUUUGGCCCAGUAAGGCGGGACAACUGGAAGCAGGAAGUGGGGGUGCUUCCAGGUCAGAAGUAGGUUGGAGACAAAAGGUUGCAUUCUUUUGAAUCCUUGAUCAGCCUUCCACUGAAUACACAAUUUAGUCUGGCUCAAUGAAUCUGCAUUUUUACAUAAAUAAUAGGGCAGAGGAAGCAAUCAGAUAUGCAUCUGUCUCAGGUGAGGGAUGACUUUGAGUGCUGUCUGUCCUUUGUCCAAAAGGAAAUUCUUUGUGGGCAAAUUGUGAGUGAGGUAUGUAGCUUUUUAUCUUUGUAGCUAUCUUAGUUAGGAAUAGAAUGAGGGCAGGUUUGCCUGACAUAGCUCCCAGCUUGACUUUUCCCUUGGCUUAGUGAUUUGGGGGUCCUGAGAUUUAUUUUCCUUUCAUGGUAUCAAAACAGAGAAAAGGUAAUGCGUUGAGCCAUGAGCUUAUGACAAGAUGGCUAGGAAGGAAUUUUUCAGCUCCAUUUUUAUCUCAUGGGACCACCAUCAUAUGUAUGCAAUGCACUAGUGUAAAAUCACAUUUAGUUAAGUCAGCUUACACUAAGCUAUGGACCCAGAUGGUCCUGGGGCCUUUUUCCACUGGGAGAUCUUUAAGGACCUUUCUUAGCUUUUCUAUGCUAAUUGGUAUAUUCAUAGUUGCCUUAUUUCAGUGCCCAUUUUGUUAAUGUGUAUUUUUACUAGGAAAUCACCCAUUUUUUCUAGGUUUCCAGUUUGAUGCAAUUAUUUGACUUUUAAUUUCUCCUCUGUUUUUAGUUUUGUACAUAAUUUUCCUAUCUACUUUUGCACUCUUUUUUCCAUCAACAAUAUUUUUAAAAUAUAAUUUUUAGCUUUUUU
ensembl:lincRNA